rnacentral:rRNA from 1 species
AGAGUUUGAUCCUGGCUCAGGAUGAACGCUGGCGGCGUGCUUAACACAUGCAAGUCGAACGAACCUUCGGGUUAGUGGCGGACGGGUGAGUAACGCGUGAGAAUCUGCCCUCAGGAGGGGGACAACAGCUGGAAACGGCUGCUAAUACCCCAUAUGCCGCGAGGUGAAAUGAAUUUCGCCUGAGGAUGAGCUCGCGUCUGAUUAGCUAGUUGGUGUAGGUAAUGGCUCACCAAGGCAUCGAUCAGUAGCUGGUCUGAGAGGAUGAUCAGCCACACUGGGACUGAGACACGGCCCAGACUCCUACGGGAGGCAGCAGUGGGGAAUUUUCCGCAAUGGGCGAAAGCCUGACGGAGCAACGCCGCGUGAGGGAUGAAGGCCUCUGGGCUGUAAACCUCUUUUAUCAAGGAAGAAGAUCUGACGGUACUUGAUGAAUAAGCCACGGCUAAUUCCGUGCCAGCAGCCGCGGUAAUACGGGAGUGGCAAGCGUUAUCCGGAAUUAUUGGGCGUAAAGCGUCCGCAGGCGGCCCUUCAAGUCUGCUGUUAAAACGUGGAGCUUAACUCCAUCAUGGCAGUGGAAACUGUUGGGCUUGAGUGUGGUAGGGGCAGAGGGAAUUCCCGGUGUAGCGGUGAAAUGCGUAGAUAUCGGGAAGAACACCAGUGGCGAAGGCGCUCUGCUGGGCCAUCACUGACGCUCAUGGACGAAAGCCAGGGGAGCGAAAGGGAUUAGAUACCCCUGUAGUCCUGGCCGUAAACGAUGAACACUAAGUGUCGGGGGAAUCGACCCCCUCGGUGUCGUAGCCAACGCGUUAAGUGUUCCGCCUGGGGAGUACGCACGCAAGUGUGAAACUCAAAGGAAUUGACGGGGGCCCGCACAAGCGGUGGAGUAUGUGGUUUAAUUCGAUGCAACGCGAAGAACCUUACCAGGGUUUGACAUCCUGCGAAUUUCUGGGAAACCGGAAAGUGCCUUCGGGAACGCAGUGACAGGUGGUGCAUGGCUGUCGUCAGCUCGUGUCGUGAGAUGUUGGGUUAAGUCCCGCAACGAGCGCAACCCACGUCUUUAGUUGCCAGCAUUCAGUUGGGCACUCUAGAGAGACCGCCGGUGAUAAACCGGAGGAAGGUGUGGAUGACGUCAAGUCAUCAUGCCCCUUACAUCCUGGGCUACACACGUACUACAAUGCUACGGACAAAGGGCAGCAAGUUCGCGAGGACAAGCAAAUCCCAUAAACCGUGGCUCAGUUCAGAUCGUAGGCUGCAACUCGCCUACGUGAAGGAGGAAUCGCUAGUAAUCGCAGGUCAGCAUACUGCGGUGAAUACGUUCCCGGGCCUUGCACACACCGCCCGUC